rnacentral:rRNA from 1 species
ACAAGGUUUCCGUAGGUGAACCUGCGGAAGGAUCAUUACAGAAUUUUAAAGAGGGGGUUGAGCACAAAAAAUGUAGCUCACCCCUUCAAAUUCCAUUAACACACCUGUGCACACAUUCAUUCAUUUUCAUGCCUGUUAAUUAUGUAUGUUGUAAAGCUCUAUGGAGUUUAAAUUAAUACAACUUUCAACAACGGAUCUCUUGGCUUUUGCAUCGAUGAAGAACGCCGCGAAAGUGCGAAACGUAAUGUGAAUUGCAGAAUUCAGUGAAUCAUCAAAUCUUUGAACGCAUCUUGCGCUCCUUGGUAUUCCGAGGAGCAUGCCUGUUUGAGUGUCGUGAAGUCUCUCUCUCUCAAUCCCCUUGUGGAUUGGAUUUGGAUGUUGCUGUAAUGGCUCAUCUUGAAAUAUAUUAGCUGUUUUUACCUUAGGACAGAAUGGUGUGAUAAAGAAAUUGCUUGCAUCAUUGUUGUAGGGUCAAGUGGCAGCUUAUAAACCCCCCAACAUCUCAUGUUUGACCUCAAAUCAGGUAGGGCUACCCGCUGAAC